AUAGGAAGCAAGCUAGAUCUGGAAGCGCAGGGAGUGCUGUUUUGGAUCAUCGCGAAGGAGAAAUGCUUCAUGAUCUCCAGCUUGAAGGUUCUAUUAUGAACCAACAUCAGCAAAUGAUUGUUGAGCAUUACAAUCCUACCUCUGUGAGUACACAAGAUGGGGGAUGGCUUGCACGAAUUGCAGCAUUGCUUGUGGGAGAGGAUCCAACCCAAUCUUAUGCUCUUAUCUGCAGCAACUGUCAUAUGCACAAUGGACUUGCUAGGAAAGAAGAACUCCCCUAUAUAACCUACUAUUGCCCUCACUGCAAUGCCCUGAAUGGGCCUAAGCCACUAGCUGAUGGCACCUCUAGUUUACUGAAUAUGGCAUCCACAACCAUUGUGGCCGAUGCUGAUUUGGUCAAGCAGGACAGUGGAUCCAUUGCAGAGAGAGACUCUGCAAGUAGCAGCCCUGCAGGGGAAACAACAGAAGGUAACAGUAUAGUCUCGGAAAGUAGCAGCCCUGCAGUUGUUGCUACAGCAACAACAGAAGAUGAAAAUAUAGUCUCCGCAAGUAGCAGCCCUGCAGUUGCUGCCCUGGAAACACCAGAAGGUGACCAUAUAGGCUCCAGUAUUUCUAGCAGUUAAAUAUGUAAUAGCUUGAAUGGAAUUGUGCAGGCAAAGUGUAUUUAAGUGUGGUGAUUUUCCUCUUAGCUUGGUCAUGCGCAACUAUGCAUCUCUUGUAAACACCUAGUAGAAAUACAAAACUCAGAGAUGACAGCUGCCUAAUAUCCAUCGUUUUGUAAUCAAGACUAUUACACAUUUUCAGGCUGUUAGGUCAUAGCAAUUUUUUUAGCUUGUUGAGUGCGGCAGUUUCUUUUCUUUUUCUUGAUUCAUUUUUCUAUUCAUAUUCCUAUGUAUU
rnacentral:misc_RNA from 1 species